rnacentral:misc_RNA from 1 species
CUACCUCAAGCCCAGCUUGGUGAUGGGCCCCGCCGCGAUGGCGAGCCCGAAACGCGUGUGAGCGCCGUGGUCCCGGUUCCGAGCGUAGCAAGAGUAGUCCUCCCUCGCUCGGAGCCCGCCAGGGUCGCCGUCAAACCGUACACUUUUUCACA